AUGUUAUCAGUCACACUUUUUGUUGGUCGAUUUGACAUGCGUAUGUUGCAGGCUGCUAUUAACAAAGGUCCAGACGAAUCUAAGAGCAGCGACCUUUUAUACGAUCAUCUAGAUGGAAAAGACGAACUUCUGUUUGACUUCAUUGCUGAUGCCGGCGAUGGUGACUUCAUUGCUCAACCUUCUUUAGUCGUAAAAUCUGAUGAUUUCAGGCUUAUACUUCCUCGUGGACAACUACUACUUAUUGGUGGAAACCUCGCAUAUCCAAAUCCAUGCUCGUUUACAUAUGAGCAGCGUUUUUUCUGCCCUUUUGAGUAUGCUCUCCAGCCUCCUGCUUGUAUUGUGAGGAGAGCUAUGCAAAUAAGGAUGACAAAAGCUGCUCCACAACAUGGGCUUAGCCCCAGCCUCUGUACGUAUGUGUCUCCAGUCACAUUGGAUGAGCAUGAGCCGGGUACGGACGCGCUUCCGUGCUCCGCUGCAGAUGUCCCUCAGGACUCGUGUAGGAUACACCGAGUUUUAGCACCACAAAGAUAUCCUCCAAGUAAGCCGAGUCGUGGAUAUGCUCGUCGAUUUUGUCUUUGGUUAAAUAGCAUCAUGUAA
rnacentral:rRNA from 1 species